rnacentral:sRNA from 1 species
AGCUCGACAGGGUCGACCGCGCGGGUCACCACCAGGUAAUCACGCAGCGCGGUGCUGUGCCUGGCCUC